GGGAGGGUGGCAGCGUUCCGAUGUCCCUUCGCCUGCCCGCAACGCCGCCAGCCGGGCUGUGGAGGAAGAUAAAGCGCAGGCCCCCACCCCGGUUCUCCGCCCCAACCUCGCAGCCCGCGGCUGCGUCACGCGCAUCGCCCCGAGCUCCCGGAUGCCAUUGGUGGUCCUGCGGCGCCUGGCAACGCCCAUUGCCACGCCCCCUCCCCGCUCUAGGGUACCCGCUGGGCUUCUCCAGCUACCUGGGUUUCUGGCUCCACCCCAACUCUUCUCCAGUGUGGACCGAAUCAACUUCCUGAGAGUUUGAAAAGGCAGCCUGCGAGAUUGCAUGGGACAAGGGGGAUCUGCUACUGACCGUUAAGGAAUAAGACAGAAGCAGUGUCCGAAAACUAUCAUAAGUUGCUUUGUGGUCUAAAUUCUACUUGACUCAAUCUGUCCUUCAGCAACGCACAACUUAGAUAAGACAGAAAAUAUAAAAAAGGAUCUCUGCAGAACAGCAGACGUGGAACAAGGAGAAACGAGAUCACAGAGAUAUUCUUGGCUAAGCAUGUGGGGUAGAUCUCAGUCCUUCCCUGGAUUAGGGUGCUUGCUGUAGAAACCAAAGAGAUGCAGUCUACAGCUGGCUCCGUUGUUUCUGGGCCUCUGGGGGCAUCAUAGCCCCCAGGGGGACAGUCCAUCAUAGCUCCCUGGUGAAACAGAGCUACUUUCCUGUUGAUGGAAGGAUGAAUAGAAAUGGGAAAGAUCCCAGGGCAAUACACUUCAAAGUGUCAAGAUGGCUCACCUGAUAAGGGCACUUGCUCGCAUUUGAACCUGGCAGCCUAUGUUCAAUCCUCAGAGCCCUCACAGUGGAAACAGACUCCUCAUUACCUCUUCCAUUGAAGUGCCUUAACACUUGGCCCACCCCCCCAAUAAAUAAUUAGAUAAAUUAAUUAAUAAAUAAAUGAAAAUGUA